GACCAGAGUGUUGAGCCUAGUUCAGGGCUGCUUCCCUGUUCUCGUAAUUAAACUUUGGGACAUUAAGAAAUGAGCUGGGGAAGUUGACUGGGUGGAAGGUAUUUCUUUAUUCAAUUUCUCCUAGCCUACAAAU